rnacentral:rRNA from 1 species
UCGAACGAUGAUCCCAGCUUGCUGGGGGAUUAGUGGCGAACGGGUGAGUAACACGUGAGUAACCUGCCCUUAACUCUGGGAUAAGCCUGGGAAACUGGGUCUAAUACCGGAUAUGACUCCUCAUCGCAUGGUGGGGGGUGGAAAGCUUUUUGUGGUUUUGGAUGGACUCGCGGCCUAUCAGCUUGUUGGUGAGGUAAUGGCUCACCAAGGCGACGACGGGUAGCCGGCCUGAGAGGGUGACCGGCCACACUGGGACUGAGACACGGCCCAGACUCCUACGGGAGGCAGCAGUGGGGAAUAUUGCACAAUGGGCGAAAGCCUGAUGCAGCGACGCCGCGUGAGGGAUGACGGCCUUCGGGUUGUAAACCUCUUUCAGUAGGGAAGAAGCGAAAGUGACGGUACCUGCAGAAGAAGCGCCGGCUAACUACGUGCCAGCAGCCGCGGUAAUACGUAGGGCGCAAGCGUUAUCCGGAAUUAUUGGGCGUAAAGAGCUCGUAGGCGGUUUGUCGCGUCUGCCGUGAAAGUCCGGGGCUCAACUCCGGAUCUGCGGUGGGUACGGGCAGACUAGAGUGAUGUAGGGGAGACUGGAAUUCCUGGUGUAGCGGUGAAAUGCGCAGAUAUCAGGAGGAACACCGAUGGCGAAGGCAGGUCUCUGGGCAUUAACUGACGCUGAGGAGCGAAAGCAUGGGGAGCGAACAGGAUUAGAUACCCUGGUAGUCCAUGCCGUAAACGUUGGGCACUAGGUGUGGGGGACAUUCCACGUUUUCCGCGCCGUAGCUAACGCAUUAAGUGCCCCGCCUGGGGAGUACGGCCGCAAGGCUAAAACUCAAAGGAAUUGACGGGGGCCCGC